rnacentral:lncRNA from 1 species
CUUACCCUUUGUAAGAAACAUUUACAUUGUAAGGGAAAUCUCCAUCUGUAAGGUGUCUCCCUCUAUACCAGGAAGAGGGGGGAAGACCUUAUCUCUAGAAACUCUUAUCGACACCGAAGGAUUUGAGAAACGGAAGAAGAAGGAAAACCCAGGAAGGGGCGAGAGAAUUUUCUGGAUCACUGAGUUGUCGUUUGGCAAUGAAUGCAAGCUGCCAGAAGAAGAAUCAGAAUACCUCAUACACUGCCCCUGCCAUCCCACCCUGACCUACUGGAUUACUGACUCUAGGAAUUUUUUCAGGACUCUUGGACCUUGCAGGAUGUGGCUGUAUACGUCACCAAAGGCGAAUGGAGUUGCUGUACCAGGGUCAGAGGGCUGUCUUUAGAGAAUGUCAUGCUGGAGAAUUACAGGAACACGGUUUUACUGGCUAAGGAUUCUGCCAUCUAGAGAGGAGGCCUUUUGAGUUUCUGUUGUAAUUAAUAUUUAUUGCUUUAAGAACCACAACUCUUAAUUUAGCCAUAUUUUGAGUGUAAGUUCCAUUUUGUUGAUGUUAGUGGGGAGGGGAUGGGGUAUACACUGGGCUGCAAAGAAAAAGGAGAGGCUGUGAGUAAUGAUCCAGGUCUUUUAACCAGAGUUGCCCCAAUAAGGGACACGUUCUAACUGGGUAACUUUGGAUGCGAGCAGGUCAGUUUGUCUUAAGCUUGGCUAACUAGUAAUCAACCCAAACAGAGAUAUAUUGACGUUCUAAUUUUAGUUCAAUGUAAAAUAUUUAUUUCAUGAUAGGUUUUUUACAUGGGUUUUUUUUUUUCAUCUUUUUGGCUUUGCUGUGUUUAUAGAUGUCUUUUUAUUAUGGUAGCUGCUGCUUCCUUUUUUGCUCUGUUAAACAUUUCAAGCAUAAAAUUGGAAAAAAAAAAAAAGAUCCUUGGAUAUUUGAAAGUAGGUAAAACUGAAAACGGUUCCUAAAAGGAUAGUUAACGCUCAAAAAGGGAUAAGCUCUGUAUGUCUGUUACUGAAACA